GGUUGUGGCCUAGUGGUAGAGCACUUGCCUAGCAUGUAUGAGGUACUGGGUUCAAUUCUCAGAAUUG
rnacentral:tRNA from 1 species